rnacentral:rRNA from 1 species
CCUACGGGUGGCUGCAGUCGAGAAUCAUUCACAAUGGGGGAAACCCUGAUGGUGCGACGCCGCGUGGGGGAAUGAAGGUCUUCGGAUUGUAAACCCCUGUCAUGUGGGAGCAAAUUAAAAAGAUAGUACCACAAGAGGAAGAGACGGCCAACUCUGUGCCAGCAGCCGCGGUAAUACAGCGGUCUCAAGCGUUGUUCGGAUUCACUGGGCGUAAAGCAUGCGUAGGCGGUUUCGUAAGUCGUGUGUGAAAGGCGCGGGCUCAACCGGCGGACGGCACAUGAUACUGGGAGGCUAGUGUAAUGUAGGGGGAACCGGAAUUCGCGGUGUAGCAGUGAAAUGCGUAGAUAUCGAGAGGAACACUCGUGGCGAAGGCGGGUUCCUGGACAUUAACUGACGCUGAGGCACGAAGGCCAGGGGAGCGAAAGGGAUUAGAGACCCUUGUAGUC